GCUGGGUGUGGUGGCUCACACCUGUAAUCCCAGCACUUUGGGAGGCCGAGGUGGGUGGAUCACCUGAGGUCAGGAGUUUGAGACCAGCCUGGCCAACAUGGAGAAACCCCAUCUCUA
rnacentral:SRP_RNA from 1 species